rnacentral:rRNA from 1 species
UACGAAGGGGGCUAGCGUUGCUCGGAAUUACUGGGCGUAAAGGGCGCGUAGGCGGCACUGUUAGUCAGGCGUGAAAUUCCUGGGCUCAACCUGGGGACUGCGCUUGAUACGGCAGAGCUUGAGGAUGGAAGAGGGUCGCGGAAUUCCCAGUGUAGAGGUGAAAUUCGUAGAUAUUGGGAAGAACACCAGUGGCGAAGGCGACUUACUGGACACAUAUUGACGCUGAGGUGCGAAAGCGUGGGGAGCAAACAGG